AUCAUUUGGUCGGACGAGAUGAUA
rnacentral:siRNA from 1 species